GGGGACUCGGGUAGUGGCGGACGGGUGAGUAACACGUGGGAACGUGCCUUUAGGUUCGGAAUAACUCAGGGAAACUUGUGCUAAUACCGAAUGUGCCCUUCGGGGGAAAGAUUUAUCGCCUUUAGAGCGGCCCGCGUCUGAUUAGCUAGUUGGUGAGGUAAAGGCUCACCAAGGCGACGAUCAGUAGCUGGUCUGAGAGGAUGAUCAGCCACAUUGGGACUGAGACACGGCCCAAACUCCUACGGGAGGCAGCAGUGGGGAAUCUUGCGCAAUGGGCGAAAGCCUGACGCAGCCAUGCCGCGUGAAUGAUGAAGGUCUUAGGAUUGUAAAAUUCUUUCACCGGGGACGAUAAUGACGGUACCCGGAGAAGAAGCCCCGGCUAACUUCGUGCCAGCAGCCGCGGUAAUACGAAGGGGGCUAGCGUUGCUCGGAAUUACUGGGCGUAAAGGGAGCGUAGGCGGACAUUUAAGUCAGGGGUGAAAUCCCGGGGCUCAACCUCGGAAUUGCCUUUGAUACUGGGUGUCUUGAGUAUGAGAGAGGUGUGUGGAACUCCGAGUGUAGAGGUGAAAUUCGUAGAUAUUCGGAAGAACACCAGUGGCGAAGGCGACACACUGGCUCAUUACUGACGCUGAGGCUCGAAAGCGUGGGGA
rnacentral:rRNA from 1 species